rnacentral:rRNA from 1 species
GACGAACGCUGGCGGCGUGCCUAACACAUGCAAGUCGAACGGAGUUGAAAGGAGCUUGCUUUUUUCAACUUAGUGGCGGACGGAUGAGUAACGCGUGAGUAACCUGCCUUUCAGAGGGGGAUAACGUUCUGAAAAGAACGCUAAUACCGCAUAAGAUUGUAGUUUCGCAUGGGACAGCAAUCAAAGGAGCAAUCCGCUUUGAGAUGGCCUCGCGUCCGAUUAGCUAGUUGGUGAGGUAACGGCCCACCAAGGCGACGAUCGGUAGCCGGACUGAGAGGUUGAACGGCCACAUUGGGACUGAGACACGGCCCAG